rnacentral:rRNA from 1 species
GGAUUGCAGGCUGCAACCCGCCUGCAUGAAGUUGGAAUCGCUAGUAAUCGCGGAUCAGCAUGCCGCGGUGAAUACGUUCCCGGGCCUUGUACACACCGCCCGUCACACCAUGAGAGUCGGGAACACCCGAAGUCCGUAGCCUGACCGCAAGGGGGGCGCGGCCGAAGGUGGGUUCGAUAAUUGGGGUGAAGUCGUAACAAGGUAAC